rnacentral:lncRNA from 1 species
AAAUCAAAAUUUGAAAGUACUAAAGCUUUAAAACCAAUUCAUUUUAUAUCACCCCAAUGUAUCACAACCGAGUGCAAUCCAAAAUAUAGUAUCUCCAAUUUUUCUUAAAUCUUGUAAUUCACAUAUAUAGAAUAAACAUUGUAAUAAACCAAGACACAAGCUCACUAUAGACAACAAAUUCAUAAUUUAUAAAGAGUACUACUCAUACCAAAACUUGGUCACGUCGAUAUAUAGGGUAAUUUUAUUUUCACAAAAACAUUAGAAUAAUUAUAUCUCUUUAUUCAAUCAUACCCAGCAACCACACUUGUU